CUGUGAGGAGAGGUUGCCCUGCGCCCUGAACCUGCGGGAGUGUGGGGGAGGAGUGAACCUGCUCCGGGCCUCGCGGACCCGCCUUCGCCAGAACCGGCUCCGGGAGCCCGGGAGAAGCGGGCGGCUGGUGGCGGGGUGCCUUUAGUAACUUACUUGACGGACAAUAACUAUUCCCCCCAAACAGUCCCCUCAAACCAAACCUAGUCUAUUUAACACAUAUUUAAUCUUCCAAUAGGGUUUGGCGUUGUUGUCAGCCUCGGGGAGAGAGAUUGGACAAAUAUUCUCCAAGAGGAAGAGGGCGACGCCAAGGACUUUCCACAUCAACUGCUUUUGGGGUUUCUCCUCAAGUUGGAAGAGAGACCCUUUUCGUUUUGCUUUGCGUGUCCUGUGCUUAUUACCAGUGCAGCUACUGCUGCCUCUGGGUGACUCCGAGUUGUCCUUCCUCGUGAACUAGCAAUGGCUAGUGAAGACAAUCGUGGCCCUUCCCCGCCACCAACAGGUGAUGACGAGGGAGGUGGAGGGAAAGAAGAAACCCCUGCGGAAGGGGGUGCAUUGUCUCUGAAGCCAGGGCUCCCCAUCAGGGGCAUCAGAAUGAAAUUUGCCGUGUUGACCGGAUUGGUUGAAGUUGGAGAAGUAUCCAAUAGGGAUAUCGUAGAAACUGUCUUUAACCUGGUAAGUAGAUGAAUAUUUUAUAAGCAUAUACUUUUCUUGGUGAGUUGGAGA
rnacentral:lncRNA from 1 species